rnacentral:rRNA from 1 species
AUUGAACGCUGGCGGCAGGCCUAACACAUGCAAGUCGAACGGUAACAGGAAGCAGCUUGCUGCUUCGCUGACGAGUGGCGGACGGGUGAGUAAUGUCUGGGAAACUGCCUGAUGGAGGGGGAUAACUACUGGAAACGGUAGCUAAUACCGCAUAACGUCGCAAGACCAAAGAGGGGGACCUUAGGGCCUCUUGCCAUCGGAUGUGCCCAGAUGGGAUUAGCUAGUAGGUGGGGUAACGGCUCACCUAGGCGACGAUCCCUAGCUGGUCUGAGAGGAUGACCAGCCACACUGGAACUGAGACACGGUCCAGACUCCUACGGGAGGCAGCAGUGGGGAAUAUUGCACAAUGGGCGCAAGCCUGAUGCAGCCAUGCCGCGUGUAUGAAGAAGGCCUUCGGGUUGUAAAGUACUUUCGGCGGGGAGGAGGGGAGUAAAGUUAAUACCUUUGCUCAUUGACGUUACCCGCAGAAGAAGCACCGGCUAACUCCGUG